rnacentral:rRNA from 1 species
AACACUUGACAUGUUCGUCGCGACUCUAAGAGAUUAGAGUUUUCGGUUCGGCCGGACGAAACACAGGUGCUGCAUGGCUGUCGUCAGCUCGUGUCGUGAGAUGUUGGUUUAAGUCCCGCAACGAUCGCAACCCUCACUUUUAGUUGCCAUCAUUAAGUUGGGCACUCUGAAAGAACUGCCAGUGAUAAGCUGGAGGAAGGUGGGGAUGACGUCAAGUCCUCAUGGCCCUUACGUGUUGGGCUACACACGUGCUACAAUGGCAUCUACAACAGGAAGCAAAACGGCAACGUUAAGCAAAUCCCGAAAAGAUGCCUCAGUUCGGAUUGCACUCUGCAACUCGAGUGCAUGAAGCUGGAAUUACUAGUAAUCGUGGAUCAGCGUGCCACGGUGAAUGCGUUCCCGGGUC